rnacentral:rRNA from 1 species
AUUGAACGCUGGCGGCAGGCCUAACACAUGCAAGUCGAGCGGAUGACGGGAGCUUGCUCCUUGAUUCAGCGGCGGACGGGUGAGUAAUGCCUAGGAAUCUGCCUGGUAGUGGGGGACAACGUUUCGAAAGGAACGCUAAUACCGCAUACGUCCUACGGGAGAAAGCAGGGGACCUUCGGGCCUUGCGCUAUCAGAUGAGCCUAGGUCGGAUUAGCUAGUAGGUGAGGUAAUGGCUCACCUAGGCGACGAUCCGUAACUGGUCUGAGAGGAUGAUCAGUCACACUGGAACUGAGCCACGGUCCAGACUCCUACGGGAGGCAGCAGUGGGGAAUAUUGGACAAUGGGCGAAAGCCUGCUCCCGCCAUGCCGCGUGUGUGAAGAAGGUCUUCGGAUUGUCCCUCCCUUUCCCUUGGGAGGCAGGGCCUUCCCCUCCUCCCUUGCUGUUUUGACGUUACCGACAGACUAAGCACCGGCUAACUCUGUGCCAGCCGCCGCCGUAAGCC